rnacentral:rRNA from 1 species
CAGUCGCCGCGGUAAAACGUAGGUGGCAGGCGUUGUCCGGAAUUACUGGGCGUAAAGCGUGCGCAGGCGGUUAUAUAAGUCAGAUGUGAAAUCCCCGGGCUCAACCUGGGAACUGCAUUUGAGACUGUAUGGCUAGAGUGUGUCAGAGGGGGGUAGAAUUCCACGUGUAGCAGUGAAAUGCGUAGAUAUUAGGAAGAACACCAGUGGCGAAGGCGACUUUCUGGACGAAAACUGACGCUGAGGAGCGAAAGCGUGGGGAGCGAACGGGAUUAGAUACCCCCGUAGUCCCUGUCUCUUAUAC